rnacentral:lncRNA from 13 species
AUGACCAUCACCAAGCCCACCAAAAAGCGCAUGGCAGGAGGGAUUAGAAGUACACUCUACAGCGCCCUUCUUGAACCACUCCCUGACCUCUCAGUUCUCCAGAUAGAAGAGGCAUACAAUAACUUUGACCCUCUAUCCAAGCCAUUGAUCUGCAGCAUGGGGAUGUCUGCUGAAAAGCUUUUAGUCGACUCCCAUUUUGGAAAGCGACAGGUGGGGAGCCUCCUGUCUUACCAGCAGCCUCCAAUCAAAACGCGACAUGUAGUUCACCAUAAGGAGACACCACACUUCCCUUCACUGCUCCUGGAUGACUACAGACUGGAGAGCAACUUUCAAGGUUGCACAUUUGUGCUCAGUGAAGAAGACCAGCUUCACGUAGUCUCUUCAGGUGAGAGAAUACAUAGAGACCCAGUGGUGUUCUCACUAAUUAGAGAGAACGGUGACUGGUACUAUUUAUGUGUACAUGCAAAAGUUCUUAGGCAGGAAAGACUAAAUAACUAAAUAAAGGGACAGGCUCCUUUAUCGUUCAAUUAAUGAAAGAGAAACAAACCAACAAAUCUGUCUGUGAAAUUAAUUAAUUAAUAAUUUACAUGAAUUCAGUUACAUUUUUCUGUUCUCUUGUGACUAAAUAAAAACUCUAUAGCAUUAUGUUUGGAGUAUAAGCAGAGGUGUGUAUUAUCUAUAAAUAGAUUACGGGGUGUUAGACAAUGUGGAUGGUCACAGGAAAAAAAGGAAAGAUGCAUUGCAGUAGUAGCUCAUUGCUCCUUGGCCCACGGCUUCACAAGAGGCCCACACUGGUAGUUUUGUGAGAAGGCAAGCCACAGCCCAGAUGCAGUUGAUGCUUCCCAUCAGUGACAUGAGGAUGUCUUGGACAUGGUAGUUAUUCCACUGGAAUAGCAAAGGUACUGCUCUCUUCUUCAGAUGUCGAAGCCCACUAGAAGGUAGAAGGUUCAAUGAAAGCCCACUAGAAGGUUCAAUGAAACUUUCAAUAAAGAUGCCGCACCAACUUAUAACGUUAACGUCGUUAGCACUAACGUUUGCUAGGUACUGGUAGCUAACGUUAGGUAGCUAAAGAGACAAAAAAAGACACAGAACACAGAAAAUCACUAACUGAACGACUUCGAGGCUAGUAUGGCUACAAUCAGGCUGACAGGACGCAAUCGAGACAGGAAGCUAUGUAUCGGGUAGGAUGUUGAGCGGAAGUGGGCUUUGAUAUGUUGUGCAAAAGGUCUACAGGGUACAAUUUGGGACGCAGCCUCAAC